rnacentral:rRNA from 1 species
CCCUUAGAUGUUCUGGGCUGCACGCGCGCUACACUGAUACGUUCAACGAGCUCCUUGACCGAGAGGCCCGGGUAAUCUUUGAAACCGUAUCGCGAUGGGGAUAGAACAUUGCAAUUAUUGUUCUUCAACGAGGAAUGCCUAGUAAGCGCGAGUCAUCAUCUCGCGUUGAUUACGUCCCUGCCCUUUGUACACACCGCCCGUCGCUCCUACCGAUUGAACGUGCUGGUGAAGCGUUAGGACUGGAGGUCUUGGGCCGGUUCGCCUGCCCAUAGCUUCGGGAAUUUCGUUGAACCCUCCCGUUUAGAGGAAGGAGAAGUCGUAACA